rnacentral:rRNA from 1 species
AGAGUUUGAUCCUGGCUCAGAUUGAACGCUGGCGGCAGGCCUAACACAUGCAAGUCGAGCGGUAGCACAGAGAGCUUGCUCUCGGGUGACGAGCGGCGGACGGGUGAGUAAUGUCUGGGAAACUGCCUGAUGGAGGGGGAUAACUACUGGAAACGGUAGCUAAUACCGCAUAAUGUCGCAAGACCAAAGUGGGGGACCUUCGGGCCUCAUGCCAUCAGAUGUGCCCAGAUGGGAUUAGCUAGUAGGUGGGGUAACGGCUCACCUAGGCGACGAUCCCUAGCUGGUCUGAGAGGAUGACCAGCCACACUGGAACUGAGGCACGGUCCAGACUCCUACGGGAGGCAGCAGUGGGGAAUAUUGCACAAUGGGCGCAAGCCUGAUGCAGCCAUGCCGCGUGUGUGAAGAAGGCCUUCGGGUUGUAAAGCACUUUCAGCGGGGAGGAAGGCGAUAAGGUUAUUAACCUUGUCGAUUGACGUUACCCGCAGAAGAAGCACCGGCUAACUCCGUGCCAGCAGCCGCGGUAAUACGGAGGGUGCAAGCGUUAAUCGGAAUUACUGGGCGUAAAGCGCACGCAGGCGGUCUGUCAAGUCGGAUGUGAAAUCCCCGGGCUCAACCUGGGAACUGCAUUCGAAACUGGCAGGCUAGAGUCUUGUAGAGGGGGGUAGAAUUCCAGGUGUAGCGGUGAAAUGCGUAGAGAUCUGGAGGAAUACCGGUGGCGAAGGCGGCCCCCUGGACAAAGACUGACGCUCAGUGCGAAAGCGUGGGGAGCAAACAGGAUUAGAUACCCUGGUAGUCCACGCCGUAAACGAUGUCGAUUUGGAGGUUGUGCCCUUGAGGCGUGGCUUCCGGAGCUAACGCGUUAAAUCGACCGCCUGGGGAGUACGGCCGCAAGGUUAAAACUCAAAUGAAUUGACGGGGGCCCGCACAAGCGGUGGAGCAUGUGGUUUAAUUCGAUGCAACGCGAAGAACCUUACCUGGUCUUGACAUCCACAGAACUUUCCAGAGAUGGAUUGGUGCCUUCGGGAACUGUGAGACAGGUGCUGCAUGGCUGUCGUCAGCUCGUGUUGUGAAAUGUUGGGUUAAGUCCCGCAACGAGCGCAACCCUUAUCCUUUGUUGCCAGCGGUCCGGCCGGGAACUCAAAGGAGACUGCCAGUGAUAAACUGGAGGAAGGUGGGGAUGACGUCAAGUCAUCAUGGCCCUUACGACCAGGGCUACACACGUGCUACAAUGGCAUAUACAAAGAGAAGCGACCUCGCGAGAGCAAGCGGACCUCAUAAAGUAUGUCGUAGUCCGGAUUGGAGUCUGCAACUCGACUCCAUGAAGCCGGAAUCGCUAGUAAUCGUAGAUCAGAAUGCUACGGUGAAUACGUUCCCGGGCCUUGUACACACCGCCCGUCACACCAUGGGAGUGGGUUGCAAAAGAAGUAGGUAGCUUAACCUUCGGGAGGGCGCUUACCACUUUGUGAUUCAUGACUGGGGUGAAGUCGUAACAAGGUAGCCGUA